CACGAAGUUAGCCGGGGCUUCUUCUCCGGUUACCGUCAUUAUCUUCACCGGUGAAAGAGCUUUACAAUCCUAAGACCUUCAUCACUCACGCGGCAUGGCUGGAUCAGGCUUGCGCCCAUUGUCCAAUAUUCCCCACUGCUGCCUCCCGUAGGAGUCUGGGCCGUGUCUCAGUCCCAGUGUGGCUGAUCAUCCUCUCAGACCAGCUAUGGAUCGUCGCCUUGGUAGGCCUUUACCCCACCAACUAGCUAAUCCAACGCGGGCUCAUCCUUUGCCGAUAAAUCUUUCCCCCGAAGGGCACAUACGGUAUUAGCAGUCGUUUCCAACUGUUGUUCCGUAGCAAAAGGUAGAUUCCCACGCGUUACUCACCCGUCUGCCGCUCCCCUUGCGGGGCGCUCGACUUGCAUGUGUUAAGCCUGCCGCCAGCGUUCGUUCUGAGCCAGGAUCAAACUCU
rnacentral:rRNA from 1 species